rnacentral:tRNA from 1 species
GGAUGGUUAGCUAAGUGUUAGAGCGUCGUGCUAAUAACACGAAUGUACUGAGUUCGAUCCCAUACUGGCCA